GGUGUCUAUUUAAGUAGGUAGGAAAUUUAAAACUUAAUAAAAUUAUACAAAAGUUCAAUUGAUGAGGUUUGCUGGUGACUGGCAUAAAGAUGGCUUUUCACAAUUCUGUUGUGAUUAUAACUGGAACAAAUAGAGGUUAUGGUGUUCAUUUAUCGGAAACUGUAGCAGCAAAACUCAGUGGGGAUUCUCUUCUUAUUUUAACAGCAAGAAAUAAAGAUGGAUUGGAGAAAACCAAGAAUAAAAUUGAAGCAUUGAUCAAUGGAAAUAAUUUUAAAGUUUUGAGCGUCAUGUGUGAUUUAUCUAAGCAAGAUAAAGUAUCUGGUUUCAUUGCAAAGUGUUUGGAGAACAUAGAUCUCUCAAAAUUCAGCACAGCCAUGUUUAUAAACAAUGCUGGUACUUUGGGUGAUGUAAAUAUUAAACUUAAAGAUCAAAACAAUGCAAACUUACUUAAUGGUUAUUUCCAGUUUAAUGUUAUCAAUGUUAUGAUGCUAAAUUCUGCAUUUCUGAAAAGUUUUGCUGCAAAAAAGUGUUUUCUGAUAAACAUUUCUUCUCUUGCUGCCAUUCAGCCCUUCAGUACAAUGGGGCUGUACUGCACAGGUAAAGCAGCAAGAGAUAUGAUGUUCAAGGUGCUUGCUGUUGAAAAUCCAGAGCUAAGAGUGUUGAACUGGUCUCCAGGACCAAUGAUAACAGGCAUGACUAACACCAUGAGAGGAUGCUGUGAUGAAACUGUAGCCACAAUGUUUAAAAAUUUUGACUAUGUUCCACUCGAAGUAUCAGCAGCAAAACUGAUGGCAAUCCUUGAGAAAAAUGAAUUCAAAUCUGGUGAUCAUAUUGACUAUUUCGAUGAGUAAAAAGGUGUACAGACUACUGGAGAACGUUUUUUAUCCCAUAUAUAAAUUAAAUGUACACAACCUGCACCAAAUUGCUGCUUACUCAACACAAAAUACCAAAUCCAUGGACUGUAUACGUUUGAUCACAUGCUGACUGUUUCACACUUUUCCAUAUAUAAACAUAGUUUUUACAUUAUCUGUAUUACAUGUUUUAAUAUCCCUUUUUAAAGCCUCAACUUAACACAGGUUCUGUUUAAUCUUUUUGCUUAACUUACUGUUUUGUAUGCAAUUAAUUUCUUUGUCUUUGUGUUUGUAUAUGUUAAUGGUGAUAAAACAUAUGUAAAUAAAAAUAAAUGUUUACCGCAUACUUUCUGUACUGUAGGACUGGACAAUGCAAAAGUAUAUUAAUGCUAAAGAUUAUACUGGCAGGUUCCCUUUAAAAUAUAUUUGUAUUUUCUUUUGUUAACAAACCUAAAAAUAAACUUAUUUAAUUAUCAUAAAAGUGUCUAGGCCAAAUUGCCAUUUAUGGUUAUUAAAAUUGUUUUCAACAUGAAAGGGCAAGAAACAUAAUGUGGUGUUGUUUUAUAUUAUCCUUUUGUGAUCACUUCAUUAGUAAAAUAUCUCCUGUUUCUGCUGUGGAGCGGUACUCUUAACAUAGCAGUGUUGUUAAUUUGAAACUAUCAUAUCCUGGUAUUAGCAUUGUCUAAUUUUAUAGCCAGUCAAGUUACUGAUUAAUAAAAAUGAUAUUUAGCAUUUUAGUCUUAUAGUCAGUCAAGUUACUGAUUAAUAAAAACUGGACAGUACACUAAAUAUUGCUGAUUGAGGUUAGACUCAGUUAAGGGUCAUAAUACUAGUUAGUUUUGAAACAAGCAGCAGUUAAACUUUAUUACAAAGCUUUUGAAUUGAUUGCUUUAUCAGAAAAUGACAAAGUGAUAAGUCAGUAUUUUGCUAUAUAUUUAUAAUAAUAAACAUUCCAUUGUUAAGUAUAAAACUAAAACUUUUAAUAAAAGCAUAUACAAACAUAUUAGUGGGAUGCACUCCUAAUAUACUUUUACAUUACUUUAAAGAGGUUGACUUUGUUAAGUUAGGUAAAUUUGUGAUAUAACUGGUGGACUUAGUAAUGCAUUAUGGUACCUGAUCAUUAUACUUAUAUACUUGGAAUCCCUAUUAACCUCAUGAGUGUGUUAUGGGCAACCAUGAGUGCGGUUUUAAUCACAACCUAUGCAGUGAACCACUUGGUAAAUGCUGGUGGGGUUGUUGGCUCAAUGUCCAAGUAUUUAACAGAUUAUGGGAAAGCAAGCACAACAGUCAGGAGCUUGGAUGUUCCUAAAAGUUACUUCACACAUUAUUACAUUCUUGCUUCGAUAUGGAACACUGUUUGUUUUAUUACAAUAUCAAGAAUCUGCUUUGGAUUAAUGACUAACAACUGGAUUGCUUCAUUAUUUUUAAUGCACAGUACAGCUAAUGCAUCAGGCGACAAAUUGUCUUUACUGUUAUGUAUGCUCAUGCUCACAGUGCAUUCGAUGAAACGUUUGUAUGAAUGUUUGUUUAUCAGCGUGUUCUCAAACAAAACCAAGAUGGGGAUCAUUCAAUAUGUUUGGGGUAACACAUACUACAUUCUUCUAGCACCAACAAUGAUAUCAGAAUGUUUGCCUCUGCACAAACUUCCAUUUGGAAGUUUUCAAGUAAGACACUUCAUGGGAAUUGUGGUUUUUCUGAUCGCAUCAUUUUAUCAUCACCAAAGUCAUAUUAUACUUGCGGAUUUAAGGAAGAAAGGAUCAAUAAAAAAAGAUGCGCAUGGUAUUCCUCAAGGAGGACUCUUCAACCUUGUCUCAUGUCCUCAUUAUUUUGCUGAAGUUUUAGUUUAUAUUUCCAUCACUAUAAUUUUAGGAGCUCAGUGUCAAACAUGGUUUUUGGUCUUGCUGUAUAACAUAUUUGCCCACGCUAACAUGGCAAUGGGUGCUCACACUUGGUACAGAAACACGUUUAAAAAUUACCCACCUAAUCGUAAAGCAUUUAUCCCAUUUGUUCUGUGAUUUUUUUGAGUAAGAAAAUUUUUUUUGUAAUUGCCACUGUUUAAUAACUUUGUUAUUAUUAUAGGAAAUUUAUUCGUACAUGUAAUUUGAAAACCAUA